rnacentral:rRNA from 1 species
AGAGUUUGAUCCUGGCUCAGGACGAACGCUGGCGGAGUGCUUCAUACAUGCAAGUCGAACGGGCACCAUGCAGUAGCAAUACUGCGGAAGUGCUAGUGGCGAACGGGUGAGUAACACGUGAGGAACCUGCCCCGAACUCUGGGAUAACAGGCGGAAACGCCUGCUAAUACCGGAUAGCACCAGCGGAUCGCAUGGUCUGCUGAUGAAAGUUUUUCGGUUCGGGAUGGUCUCGCGGCCUAUCAGCUAGUUGGUGGGGUAACGGCCUACCAAGGCAUCGACGGGUAGCUGGUCUGAGAGGAUGAUCAGCCACACUGGGACUGAGACACGGCCCAGACUCCUACGGGAGGCAGCAGUAGGGAAUCUUGCGCAAUGGGCGAAAGCCUGACGCAGCAACUCCGCGUGCGGGAAGAAGGCCUUCGGGUUGUAAACCGCUUUUGGCAGGAACGAAAAUGACGGUACCUGCAGAAGAAGAUGCGGCCAACUACGUGCCAGCAGCCGCGGUGACACGUAGGCAUCAAGCGUUGUCCGGAUUUAUUGGGCGUAAAGAGCUCGUAGGCGGUUCAGUAAGUCGGGUGUGAAAACUCAGGGCUUAACCCUGAGACGCCACUCGAUACUGCUGGGCUAGAAUUCGGUAGGGGAGUGGGGAAUUCCUGGUGUAGCGGUGAAAUGCGCAGAUAUCAGGAGGAACACCGGUGGCGAAGGCGCCACUCUGGGCCGAUAUUGACGCUGAGGAGCGAAAGCGUGGGUAGCAAACAGGAUUAGAUAC